GAAAUGCGAUAAGUAGUGUGAAUUGCAGAAUUCAGUGAAUCAUCGAAUCUUUGAACGCACAUUGCGCCCCUUGGUAUUCCAUGGGGCAUAUCUGUUCGAGCGUCAUUUGUACCCUCAAGCUCUGCUUGGUGUUGGGUGUUUGUCCCGUCUCCGCGCGUGGACUCGCCCCAAAGUGAUUGGCAGCCGGCGUACUGGUCCCGGAGCGCAGCACAUGUCGCGCAAACGAGUGCCUUGGUACGGCGGCGUCCAUAAGCCCCUCUCUCACGCUCUUGACCUCGGAUCAGGUAGGGAUACCCGCUGAACUUAAGC
rnacentral:misc_RNA from 1 species